rnacentral:lncRNA from 1 species
AUAGCUUGAGUAACGUUCUUCUUGAAUAUUGAUGGGCACGUCUAAUUAAGAAAACAAUAAUCUCCUUGGCUUUGUUGAAGGGGAUUUGAAGGCCACAAGUGCUGUAUGAUUGCACUGGUUCUAUGAAGAAUAGUUCACAACUGAAUGACCUCCUCUGGGACUCUGUAUCUGAUUAAAAUUCAAGAACAACACUGACUCAAAGCUCACUUAAAGCUCUAGAAGUUGAAAAGAAAGUCCAGCUGCAGAAAGGAGUAGAAAAAAUCCUAAAGUUAA